CCAUACCCAACUUCCCUGCCCCCAUUUUCUACCUUCCUUCUUAGUUCUUAUUCGUUCAUCCUCAUUUUUUCUUCUUCUUCUUCUUCUAAUUUGGGUUGAAUCUGCUGUGAUGCGAUGGUAGGGAAAUCGAAUUCAGGUAAUGAAGUGAGAUCCCUGCCAAAAUGCUGGAUGUUUCUUUUCAUGAAUCUAAUUGGGUUGCUGGCUUGUUCAUAAGAGGAUUAGACAUAGACCUCGAAAGGCUACAGGGAUCAUAACUGAGCUAGUUUCGAGAAUGGGCACUGCGUCAAAUCAAGGUAACCAUGUUGGAGCUUUUAGAAAUCACAAUCAAUGAUAAGAAGUACCGGCGCCUCAUGUUUUCCAAGGCAAAUAAAUUAGGAUUUAGCUGGAAAACAGACGAUGACAAGAACUACUCAUGUCGACUCUUGGUGGUGGCUGCGAAGAUGCCCUCCUAAUGAAAUUCAAUACUUAUUAAGGACAUGCCAGAGCCUCUUGAAGGGAAAAUACAUCAAGUUUGUUGAAGAAGCAGAGGGCAUCUCUACAACUCAGGAAAAAGGACUUUUUAAAGUUAAUGAAGCUCAAGUACUUUAUAAGUCUUGCUCAUCCAGGAGAACUUGUUGGUGUUCUUGCUGCUGAGUCCGUAGGAGAGCCAUCUAGCGAGAUGACGUCAGAUACAUUUCUUAUUUUUUCCUUUUUCUUUAUUUAUCAUCAUGUACGUGCAUUUCUAGUAGAUCGCGAGAUGGCAAAGUCGUCCGGAGUUGAAUAUAUUACUUAGAGACAAUGAGCUAUUGACUGAAGUUGGUUUGUUUUGCAGAUGAUUUACAUUAUAGAGGAUCACCCUUUUCCUUGAUUUCCGUUGGCAUGUUUUGAGCAUGGUGAUUAUACUAUGUUGAAACAUUGAAGUGUCUUAUUUUAUUUUAUUUUUGCAGUCUCAAUACUUUCCAUCUUGCCGGUCAAGGUGAAAUGAACAUUACUCUGGGUGUCCAUCGGUUGCAAGAAAUUAUAAUGAGGGCAUCUGGGAAAAUCCAGAAUCCUGUUAUGACCUGCCCCUUGCGGAAGGGGAAGAAGAGGUAAGUAGACACUUUAUUCAACCCUUGCUUGUCUAUCAAUAGGUUUAGGUUUUGAACUUAGAAUUUGUAGUCUGUUUCUUAUAUCACUUAAUCACUAUCUGGAGCGACUGUUUAUUUCAAUUUUGUGCACUCUUAGAUGGCUAAACUCAUUCCGUGUACGGACUUCGUUCUAGGAUUUUAAACAGCAAGCCACAACUGUUUUUAAGCUGAAGAUCAAGGUCCUUGGACCUGAACAUUUCCCACCCUCCAUGGAUAUUACACUUGAAGACUGUAUGCAGACCUUAGAUAUUUUAUUUGUAAGGGAGUUGGAAGACUCUAUAGAAAAUCAUUUGAUGAUGGUAUCCAAAGUCAGUGGAAUUACAAAUAUGGGCUGGAAUCUGAAGCUGUUAUUGAGGAAAAGAAAGAGGAAGAUAAGGAUGAUUGUGGUAAGCAAUCACAUAAUACAGGGGAAGAAACUGAUGACGAUGAAGGGGAUGCCAAUGAUAUGAAACAUUUUGGUGUUGAUGCACAUAAAAGAAAAGAACAAGCUACAACUGAGAUGGAUUAUGGCGAAGAUGGAUGGAAAUGGAGACUUCCGUCGUUGAGAAUGUAGAUGCUGAAGGCGAGGGUGAAGGCUCGGAAAGUGAAAGUGAUCAUGUUAGCAAAACUGUUUUAGUUGGACUGACAACAAAUUAGCAAGAGUGUUUUAGUUAGUAAGACUAUUUUAGUUCGAAUGACGACUCAUAACAAGUUAGUGUGUUUGCAUAAAAUUUUCUUCUGUAAAUUGUACUACUUUUUUACUUUACUUUCGCAAUGAUAAUGUUUCUUUUUUUUUCA